CAUGUUUUAUAUUGUCUCUAAACAGAAGUAAAGUGAACACAUGUUCUGUAAGCUUUAGUUUAAAUUCCACAAAAUUCAAUCGAGGGCAGAUGGUUGUCAUGAAUACACAGAGUUUACAAUAUUGCCCAUGCUGUCCAAAGGGAGACACGUGUCAGAGUAGAUUUAAGCACAACAUGUGCCCUGUGCAAUCUGCAGCAGAGAGAUUGUGUGCCCCGGGACGCCGCUCUCUUCAGGAUUUACUCGUGACCUUUCUCUCUACAGGACACAGUAAGAAAGUGCAACAGUUUGGGAGACUUAAUCAGUCUUCAUCAGGGGUCAGCGAGUUCGCAGAAGGUUGAAUAAGUGUCAUGAUUCAUGUCAAACUCCAUACUAAAGAAGCCUACGGAGAAGUGAUUGCACGGGUCACUGAGCGACUGUAAGAAAACACAACCCAAGUGACCAGACUACAGUCUUCUUGUGCCACUUUUCCAGCUCUGAGUUUUCUCCUAUAAUGCCUGAAGAGUUUGGAGAACACCUGUCGAGGGAUCAGAGACCAUUGUUCUACACAGAAUCUCUCCAGACCCUUCAGACUCCCAGCUCCAUGUUGAUAUUCCCUCCUCUUCAGAUUUCUAGGGUUCAGGUCAGGGAACUGGGACGACCGGCAGAACCUUCGUUUUGUGCUCAGUCACCCAUUUUUGUGUUGAUUUUGAUGGUCCUUAUGGAUCAUUGUUCUGUUGGAAGAUCCAACCACGGCCCGUUAUAAAGCUUUCUGACCCCAAAACUGCAAUUAUCCAGCUGUGAAGAGUCUUUGGCCACUUAAACUAUCCUCCUCAUGUUGCAUUAAGACAAUAAAGUCACACACAAUAAACUGUUGGCAGAUUUGUAACAUUUCCUUUUGAUUGGAACUCCUUAAUUAUUGU